rnacentral:rRNA from 1 species
AUUGAACGCUGGCGGCAGGCCUAACACAUGCAAGUCGAGCGGAUGAAGGGUGCUUGCUCCUGGAUUCAGCGGCGGAAGGGUGAGUAAUGCCUAGGAAUCUGCCUGGUAGUGGGGGAUAACGUCCGGAAACGGGCGCUAAUACCGCAUACGUCCUGAGGGAGAAAGUGGGGGAUCUUCGGACCUCACGCUAUCAGAUGAGCCUAGGUCGGAUUAGCUAGUUGGUGGGGUAAAGGCCUACCAAGGCGACGAUCCGUAACUGGUCUGAGAGGAUGAUCAGUCACACUGGAACUGAGACAGGGUCCAGACUCCUACGAGAGGCAGCAGUGGGGAAUAGUGGACAAUGGGCGAAAGCCUUAUCCAGCCAUGCCACGUAUGUGAAGAAGGUCUUCGGAUUGUAAAGCACUUUAAGUUGGGGGGAAGGGCAGUAGGUUGAUACCUUGCUGUUUUGACGUUACCAACAGAAUAAGCACCGGCUAACUUCGUG